GAUGAAGAACGUAGCGAAAUGCGAUAAGUAAUGUGAAUUGCAGAAUUCAGUGAAUCAUCGAAUCUUUGAACGCACCUUGCACUCCUUGGUAUUCCGAGGAGUACGCCUGUUCGAGUGUUAUGAAGCUCUCAAAACGCAAUUGGCUUAAAACCUGAUUGUUGUUUUGGAUUUGAACUUUGCCGUGUUAUAACGGCUGGUUUUAAAAGUAUUAGCUGGUACUAGAACGAAUUGGUUCUACUCAACGUGAUAAUUAUCUGAUCGUUGAGGACAUUCCUUUCACGAGGAAUGGCCAUAGUAAAUUCAAUGGACUGCUUCUAAUCUGGCUUUAAUUCUUUAUUGGAUUAACCACUUUUCAAAUCUGACCUCGAAUCAGGUCGGACUACCCGCUGAACUUAAGCAUAUCAAUAAGCGGAGGA
rnacentral:misc_RNA from 1 species